rnacentral:rRNA from 1 species
CGCGGCCUAUCAGCUUGUUGGUGGGGUAAAGGCCUACCAAGGCGACGACGGGUAGCCGGCCUGAGAGGGCGACCGGUCGCACUGGGACUGAGACACGGCCCAGACUCCUACGGGAGGCAGCAGUAGGGAAUAUUGCGCAAUGGACGAAAGUCUGACGCAGCAACGCCGCGUGAGGGAUGAAGUACAUCGAGAUGUAAACCUCUUUCAGCAGGGACGAAGCUAACGUGACGGUACCUGCAGAAGAAGCACCGGCUAACUACGUGCCAGCAGCCGCGGUAAUACGUAGGGUGCAAGCGUUGUCCGGAUUUAUUGGGCGUAAAGGGCUCGUAGGCGGUCUGUCGCGUCGGAUGUGAAAACUCGGAGCUUAACUCCGGGCCUGCAUUCGAUACGGGCAGACUAGAGUUCGGUAGGGGAGACUGGAAUUUCUGGUGUAGCGGUGGAAUGCGCAGAUAUCAGGAAGAACACCGAUGGCGAAGGCAGGUCUCUGGGCCGACACUGACGCUGAGGAGCGAAAGCAUGGGGAGCGAACAGGAUUAGAUACCCUGGUAGUCCAUGCCGUAAACGGUGGGCGCUAGGUGUGGGGAAUAAUCUACAUUCUCCGCGCCGCAGCUAACGCAUUAAGCGCCCCGCCUGGGGAGUACGG